UCUUGCUGUAUUGGAUGCUAAAAGGUCAACUUCCGACCAUGGGGUCAACAUCCUAAAGGCCACAGAGAUACUACGAUCUGAUUGGACCGUCGGAUACGCAUGCGCACUAUGCGGGCGGGACGAUUAGAAAAAAGUCGUUACAGAAAUGAGAUCGGACAUGACUACGAGGUUUUACGUAUCGCUUUCUACGCUAAAAAUGGCACAAGGAGUCUGCUAUGGUCGGCCAGCAAUUUGGGAGAGGCUUGUGAGUGUUGGGGGAAUAUGGUGUAAGCUUAAACGGACGGAAAAUGAUCGUGACUGAUGUUUUUGGAUGUACGUUUGGCGGCCGCCCCCCUCCCACCCUGGGCGGCGCACCCCUAACAGGAUUACCAACGUGUACUUCGUACAGCUGCAGUAGAUACCUCCUUCAGACAUGCAGCACAAGUUGUGAGGGUGGAUAGCCAGUCCUGAGUAAAGCAAGCAUCAGCCAGAAGUUUAGCUGCUGACUACUUCAAUGCUGCUACACACUCCAUAGGAACUGGCUCAUCACACAAAGGACUCCAAACUCCUGCUGG